rnacentral:rRNA from 1 species
UACGUAGGGACCAAGCGUUGUUCGGAUUUACUGGGCGUAAGGGCGCGUAGGCGGUUUGUCAAGUCAGUUGUGAAAUCUCCGAGCUUAACUCGGAACGGUCAACUGAUACUGUCAAACUAGAGUACAGAAGGGGCAAUCGGAAUUCUUGGUGUAGCGGUGAAAUGCGUAGAUAUCAAGAGGAACACCUGAGGUGAAGACGGGUUGCUGGGCUGAUACUGACGCUGAGGAGCGAAAGCGUGGGGAGCGAACAGG